rnacentral:rRNA from 1 species
GACGAACGCUGGCGGCGUGCCUAAUACAUGCAAGUCGAACGCUUCUUUCCUCCCGAGUGCUUGCACUCAAUUGGAAAGAGGAGUGGCGGACGGGUGAGUAACACGUGGGUAACCUACCCAUCAGAGGGGGAUAACACUUGGAAACAGGUGCUAAUACCGCAUAACAGUUUAUGCCGCAUGGCAUAAGAGUGAAAGGCGCUUUCGGGUGUCGCUGAUGGAUGGGCCCGCGGUGCAUUAGCUAGUUGGUGAGGUAACGGCUCACCAAGGCCACGAUGCAUAGCCGACCUGAGAGGGUGAUCGGCCACACUGGGACUGAGACACGGCCCAGACUCCUACGGGAGGCAGCAGUAGGGAAUCUUCGGCAAUGGACGAAAGUCUGACCGAGCAACGCCGCGUGAGUGAAGAAGGUGUUCGGAUCGUAAAACUCUGUUGUUAGAGAAGAACAAGGACGUUAGUAACUGAACGUCCCCUGACGGUAUCUAACCAGAAAGCCACGGCUAACUACGUG